UCUAUUAAACAUAGAAGUGACGGGCGAUUUGUGCAUGUUUUCUUUCCAAUUCACUUAAAAAUUUUUUUUUUAAUUUAGUAUUAAGUCCUUCUUAAUAAUCUCCUCUUUCUUUUUUUGUUUGCUAUAUGCGCCCCACUCUUUCUAAAAUAUUUUCUUUGUCUUGAUUUGUUUUAUUAUCCUUAAUUUUUCAAUCUUUUUCAAUUUAAGAUUUUAACAAUGAUAUAAAAAAUGAAUCUUUUAGUAAAUUUAAUCGUGGGGUGUCUAUGAUACCGCAGAGCUCCCUACUUAGCUUAAACACCGCCAUUUUAUUUAGGUUUAGUUUAUUUACUUACUUUCUAGGAAUUUUUUAAAA
rnacentral:rRNA from 1 species